rnacentral:rRNA from 1 species
ACCCGAAACCGGCGCGAUCUAUCCAUGGCCAGGUUGAAGAUUAGGUAGUACUAAUUGGAGUACCGAACCCAAUACUGUUGCAAAAGUAUGGGAUGAGCUGUGGAUCGGAGUGAAAUGCUAAUCAAGCACGGAGAUAGCUGGUUCUCCCCGAAAACUAUUUAGGUAGUGCCUCGUGUUUAACUCAUUGGGGUAUAGCACUGUUUCGACAAUGGGGGUUUUACGACCUAACUGACUCGAUG